GAUGAACGCUGGCGGCGUGCCUAAUACAUGCAAGUCGAGCGAACAGACGAGGAGCUUGCUCCUCUGCCGUUAGCGGCGGACGGGUGAGUAACACGUGGAUAACCUACCUAUAAGACUGGGAUAACUUCGGGAAACCGGAGCUACUACCGGAUAAUAUAUUGUACCGCAUGGUUCAAUAGUGAAAGACGGUUUUGCUGUCACUUAUAGAUGGAUCCGCGCCGCAUUAGCUAGUUGGUAAGGUAACGGCUUACCAAGGCAACGAUGCGUAGCCGACCUGAGAGGGUGAUCGGCCACACUGGAACUGAGACACGGUCCAGACUCCUACGGGAGGCAGCAGUAGGGAAUCUUCCGCAAUGGGCGAAAGCCUGACGGAGCAACGCCGCGUGAGUGAUGAAGGUCUUCGGAUCGUAAAACUCUGUUAUUGGGGAAGAAAAAAUGUGUAAGUAACUAUGCACGUCUUGACGGUACCUGAUCAGAAAGCCACGGCUAACUACGUG
rnacentral:rRNA from 1 species